rnacentral:tRNA from 1 species
AAGGAUUUAAGUUAAAUAAACUAUUAAUUUUCAAAGUUAAAAAUAAUUUUUUUUAUUAAGCCUUG